UAAGUAAGCUUUGAUCCAGAGAUUUCCGAAUGGGGAAACCCAGCAUGAGUUAUGUCAUGUUAUCGAUAUGUGAAUACAUAGCAUAUCAGAAGGCACACCCGGAGAACUGAAACAUCUUAGUACCCGGAGGAAGAGAAAGAAAAUUCGAUUCCCUUAGUAGCGGCGAGCGAAACGGGAAGAGCCCAAACCAACAAGCUUGCUUGUUGGGGUUGUAGGACACUCUAUACGGAGUUACAAAGGACGACAUUAGACGAAUCAUCUGGAAAGAUGAAUCAAAGAAGGUAAUAAUCCUGUAGUCGAAAAUGUUGUCUCUCUUGAGUGGAUCCUGAGUACGACGGAGCACGUGAAAUUCCGUCGGAAUCUGGGAGGACCAUCUCCUAAGGCUAAAUACUCUCUAGUGACCGAUAGUGAACCAGUACCGUGAGGGAAAGGUGAAAAGCACCCCGGAAGGGGAGUGAAAUAGAACCUGAAACCGUGUGCUUACAAGUAGUCAGAGCCCGUUAAUGGGUGAUGGCGUGCCUUUUGUAGAAUGAACCGGCGAGUUACGAUUUGAUGCAAGGUUAAGCAGUAAAUGUGGAGCCGUAGCGAAAGCGAGUCUGAAUAGGGCGUUUAGUAUUUGGUCGUAGACCCGAAACCAGGUGAUCUACCCUUGGUCAGGUUGAAGUUCAGGUAACACUGAAUGGAGGACCGAACCGACUUACGUUGAAAAGUGAGCGGAUGAACUGAGGGUAGCGGAGAAAUUCCAAUCGAACCUGGAGAUAGCUGGUUCUCUCCGAAAUAGCUUUAGGGCUAGCCUCAAGUGAUGAUUAUUGGAGGUAGAGCACUGUUUGGACGAGGGGCCCCUCUCGGGUUACCGAAUUCAGACAAACUCCGAAUGCCAAUUAAUUUAACUUGGGAGUCAGAACAUGGGUGAUAAGGUCCAUGUUCGAAAGGGAAACAGCCCAGACCACCAGCUAAGGUCCCAAAAUAUAUGUUAAGUGGAAAAGGAUGUGGCGUUGCCCAGACAACUAGGAUGUUGGCUUAGAAGCAGCCAUCAUUUAAAGAGUGCGUAAUAGCUCACUAGUCGAGUGACACUGCGCCGAAAAUGUACCGGGGCUAAACAUAUUACCGAAGCUGUGGAUUGUCCUUUGGACAAUGGUAGGAGAGCGUUCUAAGGGCGUUGAAGCAUGAUCGUAAGGACAUGUGGAGCGCUUAGAAGUGAGAAUGCCGGUGUGAGUAGCGAAAGACGGGUGAGAAUCCCGUCCACCGAUUGAC
rnacentral:rRNA from 1 species